CGCCCAGACUCCUACGGGAGGCAGCAGUGGGGAAUAUUGCACAAUGGGGGAAACCCUGAUGCAGCGACGCCGCGUGAGCGAUGAAGUAUUUCGGUAUGUAAAGCUCUAUCAGCAGGGAAGAAGAUGACGGUACCUGACUAAGAAGCCCCGGCUAACUACGUGCCAGCAGCCGCGGUAAUACGUAGGGGGCAAGCGUUAUCCGGAUUUACUGGGUGUAAAGGGAGCGUAGACGGCGAUGCAAGCCAGAUGUGAAAGCCCGGGGCUCAACCCCGGGACUGCAUUUGGAACUGUGUGGCUGGAGUGUCGGAGAGGCAGGCGGAAUUCCUAGUGUAGCGGUGAAAUGCGUAGAUAUUAGGAGGAACACCAGUGGCGAAGGCGGCCUGCUGGACGAUGACUGACGUUGAGGCUCGAAAGCGUGGGGAGCAAACAGGAUUAGAUACCCGGGUA
rnacentral:rRNA from 1 species